rnacentral:rRNA from 1 species
UACGAAGGGGGCUAGCGUUGCUCGGAAUCACUGGGCGUAAAGCGCACGUAGGCGGCUUCUUAAGUCAGGGGUGAAAUCCUGGAGCUCAACUCCAGAACUGCCUUUGAUACUGAGGAGCUUGAGUCCGGGAGAGGUGAGUGGAACUGCGAGUGUAGAGGUGAAAUUCGUAGAUAUUCGCAAGAACACCAGUGGCGAAGGCGGCUCACUGGCCCGAUACUGACGCUGAGGCACGAAAGCCAGGGGAGCAAACGGG